CCUAGCCGGGAAUCAAUCAACAAACUUCCUGUAAGCCAUUGAGGAGCACGUCUUACCUUAACGCCGUCGAUUAUGAGAAAGAGGAACAAUGAUGGCGGCGCUUUCUGUGCUCGACGGAAUGGGUUGUCGCUGACGCAGUCGACUACCGCUUGUCGAUUGAAAGCAGCGUAAUGUAUGCGUUGAUCAUUAAGUUGCUGUAACACUAUUUGUGCAGUAAGUACACUCACACAUCUUCCCCCUUCUCAAAAAAAGUCUAACAUCCCAUGAAUAAAAAUGUUGUAAUGCUUAUGAAUAAAACAUGCUAUAACAUACCAUGAAUAAAAUUAUUAUUUUCGAAUGAAUUUUCGUUUGAUAAUUUAAUUGCUAGAGUAUUUUCCGUGUCAUAAAGUUUGUACAUAUGAAUAAAUCAGUCACUAGGCGACAUAUUCAAUGCACCUAGUCACAGGGGUAGCCAAAUGAUCUGACGUUUCGUAUUCGUUUCAUGGAUAUCAGAUUUGGGGAUUUAUAAGCAAACAACUGCUUCUGUGCAACGGAAAAUAGGAAAAUAAAAAACGAUUACAAGGAACUACAUCAUUGCAAUUUUCAUAGCUACCGGUUGUAUAUAAUCCUGAAGAUGAACUGGCAUUUUCCUAAUGCGGGGAAUUCGUUCAGAUGAAUCAGCCGGAACGGAAGGAUCGUCUUCAAACGAUUUCUCUUUCUGCCACUCAGAGACCUUCUUAACUUUCGUGACGUGGCGCUUCAUUAUGUGCCCAUCUCCAUUGCUGAGGCUCCUGCAGGUUCCUGGCGUAAAUAAGGAUGUCAUCGAUGUAGACGAUAACGUUCUCAACAUCCUUAAGAAUUCGUGUCAUCUCUCGCUGGAAAAUUUCAGGUGCACAAUUUACACCGAACAUGAGCCUUUUGAAGCGGUACAUACCAUUCUCGGUAAGAAAGGUCGUCAGGUCCCGCGACUCGUUGCUAAGCUCGAGGUGGUAAAACGCAUUACUCAAAUCCAGUUUUGUAUAAAACUUGGAACCGUAGAGUUUCACCUUCAUCUCUUCCAGUAGAGCAGACAUGCCGCUUAUCCAAUUUGGAGCCGAUGUAACCUUCUCGAUAAUGCCACGCUUUUCCAUUUCUUCUAAUCGUUGUCUUGCUGCUUCACGAUAUGCCGCGGGUACAUUAUAAUAAGCAUUCUUCACUGUAGAUGAAAUCUCCAUAUUAUUGAGAUUCAGUCCUAUGUGCAGUAAUCCAAUAUCACUUGAAGUAGCUCGACCUAGAAGUGACCUCAACCCUUUAGGGACAACGUGAAAAGUUGCAGGCAUGACCCGUCCGUUGUAUCCAACUACAGCAAUGUCAGCCUCCAGUAAGCAUUCGACAAACAUGGGUGAUGUUGUACCGUACGCAUGCAGACCUUUCAAACUUGUAUUAUCGAGAAUUUUGAACUUUGCUUUGCCUAACUUGAACUCC